AUGCAGUGUGAUAACGGAGGAGAAUUCAUCACCACCUCCCUUCGUGACCUUUUCUCUCGGUAUGGCGCCUCCCUUCCCCUCUCCUGCCCCCACACCUCGCCCCAAAACGGCAAGGCCGAGCGCCUCAUCCGCACUACAAAUGACAUCCUACGAGUGCUCCUCAUCCAUGCCAACCUCCCGCCACCAUUUUGGGUAAAAGCUCUUCACACCGCCACAUAUAUACUCAGCCGCCGCCCAUGCUCAUCCAUCAUCUCCGAGACACCCUUUUUCCGCCUUCUAGGCAAACACCCCACUUAUGAGCAUAUGCACGUGUGUGUUUUCGACUGCCUCUGCUUCCCUAACACCAUUGCCACCAGCCCGCACAAACUCUCCCCGCGCUCCACUCGCUGCGUCUUCCUCGGCUACCCCUUAGAGCACAAGGGCUAUCGGUGCUUAGACCUCACUGCCCGCAAGGUCAUCAUCUCUCGUCACGUCACAUUCGACGAAACGGUUUUUCCCUACUCAUCUGGAGACACGCCACCACAACGCACUCGUACGACCACAGAAAAUCCGGGCCUCGGGAUCCCCCCCGAACUCUGCGCACCUACCUCGUACCUGCCUCGUCAGGGCCCCGCCUCGGUCUCUCCGCCCCCCGCCAUGCAGCACCCGCCGCCCACUCCACGCGCGACCCCAACCACCAAUCCCCACUCGCCCGGCGCAACCAGCCAAUCCGCGCGCCCCCCUGGCUCCCCCGUGUCCCCCACUCCUACCCAAUCCGCGCGCGCGGAGUUGCUCGCCAGCCUCCGCGACCCCACCACAACAUUGGCGAGCCCCACUUUCAGGCUGCGCGAGGGGCGGGGGGUGUUCGACUGCGCGUACUCUCCAGUCAUCAGGUGGCUGAACCACCUGACCGGGUCUGCUGCUGGGCUAAAUGGCCAGCCCCUCUCUCUCGCUCAACGUGCGCCUGCACGUCCUGCAUGCUAG
rnacentral:rRNA from 1 species